rnacentral:rRNA from 1 species
UACGUAGGGUGCAAGCGUUGUCCGGAAUUAUUGGGCGUAAAGAGCUCGUAGGCGGUCUGUCGCGUCGGAUGUGAAAAUCCAGGGCUCAACCCUGGACCUGCGUUCGAUACGGGCAGACUAGAGUUCGGCAGGGGAGACUGGAAUUCCUGGUGUAGCGGUGAAAUGCGCAGAUAUCAGGAGGAACACCGGUGGCGAAGGCGGGUCUCUGGGCCGAUACUGACGCUGAGGAGCGAAAGCGUGGGGAGCGAACAGG